CCUACAGGUGGCUGCAGUGGGGAAUAUUGGACAAUGGGGGCAACCCUGAUCCAGCCAUGCCGCGUGUGUGAAGAAGGCCCUCGGGUUGUAAAGCACUUUCAGUGAGGAAGAACGCCUGGUGGUUAAUACCCAUCAGGAAAGACAUCACUCACAGAAGAAGCACCGGCUAACUCCGUGCCAGCAGCCGCGGUAAUACGGAGGGUGCGAGCGUUAAUCGGAAUUACUGGGCGUAAAGCGCGCGUAGGUGGCUUGAUAAGCCGGUUGUGAAAGCCCCGGGCUCAGCCUGGGAACGGCAUCCGGAACUGUCAAGCUAGAGUGCAGGAGAGGAAGGUAGAAUUCCCGGUGUAGCGGUGAAAUGCGUAGAGAUCGGGAGGAAUACCAGUGGCGAAGGCGGCCUUCUGGACUGACACUGACACUGAGGUGCGAAAGCGUGGGUAGCAAACAGGAUUAGAUACCCCAGUAGUC
rnacentral:rRNA from 1 species